rnacentral:rRNA from 1 species
AAUCAACGCUGGCGGCGUGCCUCAGACAUGCAAGUCGAACGCGAAAGUCCCCCUUCGGGGGGCGAGUAGAGUGGCGCACGGGUGAGUAACACGUAGGUAAUCUACCCCCGAGUGGGGAAUAACUCAGGGAAACUUGAGCUAAUACCGCAUAAUGCAGCGGCACCACAUGGUGACAGUUGUUAAAGCAUUUAUGCGCUUGGGGAGGAGACGUC